AUGGUGUGGAUGAACCGCUUGGCACAGAGUGACCUUCUCAGUGAGACUUCUUUGGCGUGUGUGUGCGCUCAGUCGUGUCCAGCCCUUUGUGGUCCCGUGGACUGCAGCCCACCAGGCUUCUCUGUGCAUGGGAUUCUCCAGGCAAGAAUACUGGAGUGGGUGCCAUGCCCUCCUCCAGGGGACCUUCCCUACCCAGGGAUGGAACCUGCGUCUCCUGCAUCUCUUGCCUUCGCAGGCAGAUUCAUUACCGCUAGAGCCACCUGGGAGGCCUUGUGCUCUAAACAUAUAUUUGAAAUCGCAUUAUUCAUCUUUUACUUUGCUUCCUGUCUUAUCUCACAGAAGCAGAAACUGCCAAGAGAUCAAGCAGGCAUUCAUGAGUGCAUUCAUUUCCAAGGAUCCCUGCAAAGCGACAAAGGAAGACUACAGACGACUGAUCGACCUGGCAGAUCCCACUGUGCCUUGCAACAAGAGAGUCUUAUGGAGCAAAACAAAGGAGCUGGCUCGUGAAUACGCGAAACUGCGGGGCCUGGUGACCCUGGAGGACACGCUGCUGGGUUUCCUUGCGGACCGCCUCCACUGGUGUGGAGAGCCAGGCUCUCCUGAUUUGAACACGUGGUCUUGUCCAGACUGGGAGAAAGACUGCAGAACAAACUAUCGUUCUGUAUUCUGGGAAGUGCUGUCCGAAAGGUUUGCAGAAAGUGCCUGUGGUACAGUCCAGGUGUUGCUCAACGGGUCGCUCGAGAACGCCUUUGAUGAGAUGAGCAUAUUUGGACGAGUGGAAGCCCCUAACUUGAAGCCAAUGGUUACACUACAAGUUUGGCUGGUACAUGACCCUGGAAAACCUCCCCGUGACUCAUGCUCUGGCUCCUCUAUAAAGAAACUGAAGUCCAUCUUAAGUGAAAGAAAUGUCAGAUUUAUCUGCAGGGAUAAUCUCAGGUAACUGAUGCUUUCCCACCACAUGCAGACGCUCUUCCCUUGGGCCUUGACAGCGGUCUGGGUAGUGACCUUCAGUGAACUUCGCCCCUCUCCCAGCUUAACCCGGAAGCCAUUUCCAGCCAGUGGCCUUCUGAUGUCCACUGCCCCACCCUGUUCCUUGGCCUUCCCCAUGCAAAUCACUCUAGCAGUGAUUUGCUUCUAAAGGUGACCCAGGUUUGAGGGCAUCUUUCCUGCUUUCCCAUGUGAGAAGCGUGACCCAGAGCUCCUGACUUUCAGGGUCGUAGAAGCACGUUUUGCCCAAAGCAAAGGAUUUAUAAAAGCCUUGUGACUUGCCAUAUCUUUCAGGUGAGGUUUCUUUGGUUGGGUCUCAGUUGUAGAUGCCUAACACUUCGUGGCUUACACACAGACACAAACAGCUCAGCUCACACCCAGGUGAGCUCCCUGGGUGCCUAGCUCCUCUAGACACCAACACUCAGAUCUGCUCAGGGGGGCUUUAAGCAAACGCUCACAACAGACAGGAGGCCUGACUUCAAGCCUCCACAUUUAUUCUCCUUAAAGCCCACCACCCUUUCUGGGCUUCCAUCCAUCAUCUAUAACACUGGAAUGGACUGGGUGAUUUCUAAGACUUCCUAGCUUGGCCUUCCUGACCCUUGAUUUAGAGGGUAGAGGGUAGAGCAGCAGGUGCAGCCAUAAUCUCAAAUCAUAACGAGCAAGCUUUAGGGUUUUCUAAUUUUAAAAUGUAGACUUUUAAAACUGUUUACCUGUAACACAUAUUUAUUGGAGAAAAGUUUAAAUUACAGAUAUAUAUAUAGAUAUAUUUUUUCUGGUUUUCAAAAAUUUUAGUUAUUUGUUUACUUUUGACCAUGCUGGUAUUCAUUGCCGUGUGAGCUUGUCUUGAGCUGUGGUGAGCGGGCUUCACGCGGCAGUAGCUUCCCUUGCUGUGGCUCCCAGGCUCUAGGGUGUGUGGGGCUCAGUAGUUGGCGGCAUGAGGGCUUAUUUGCUCC
rnacentral:lncRNA from 1 species